rnacentral:tRNA from 1 species
UCCCUGUGGGCUCAACGGUAAAGAAUCUGCUUGCAAUGCAGGAAACCUGGGUUCGAUCCCUGGGUUGGGAA